GAUGAACGCUAGCUACAGGCUUAACACAUGCAAGUCGAGGGGCAGCAUGAACUUAGCUUGCUAAGUUUGAUGGCGACCGGCGCACGGGUGAGUAACACGUAUCCAACCUGCCGAUGACUCGGGGAUAGCCUUUCGAAAGAAAGAUUAAUACCCGAUGGCAUAAUUCUUCCGCAUGGUAGAAUUAUUAAAGAAUUUCGGUCAUCGAUGGGGAUGCGUUCCAUUAGGUUGUUGGCGGGGUAACGGCCCACCAAGCCUUCGAUGGAUAGGGGUUCUGAGAGGAAGGUCCCCCACAUUGGAACUGAGACACGGUCCAAACUCCUACGGGAGGCAGCAGUGAGGAAUAUUGGUCAAUGGACGAGAGUCUGAACCAGCCAAGUAGCGUGAAGGAUGACUGCCCUAUGGGUUGUAAACUUCUUUUAUACGGGAAUAAAGUGAGGCACGUGUGCCUUUUUGUAUGUACCGUAUGAAUAAGGAUCGGCUAACUCCGUGCCAGCAGCCGCGGUAAUACGGAGGAUCCGAGCGUUAUCCGGAUUUAUUGGGUUUAAAGGGAGCGUAGGCGGACGCUUAAGUCAGUUGUGAAAGUUUGCGGCUCAACCGUAAAAUUGCAGUUGAUACUGGGUGUCUUGAGUACAGUAGAGGCAGGCGGAAUUCGUGGUGUAGCGGUGAAAUGCUUAGAUAUCACGAAGAACUCCGAUUGCGAAGGCAGCUUGCUGGACUGUAACUGACGCUGAUGCUCGAAAGUGUGGGUAUCAAACAGGAUUAGAUACCCUGGUAGUCCACACAGUAAACG
rnacentral:rRNA from 1 species